CCCUUAGAUGUUCUGGGCGGCCCGCGCACUACAUUGGCACUGGCAACAAGAUCCUAGAUCUGGUAUUUCGGGGUAUUCUACCAACUGGUGUCGUGACUGGGAUUAACCCCUGCAAUUAUUGGUUAUGAACGAGGAAUUCCUUGUAAUCACGGUUUAUCAACCCGUGUUGAAUGCGUCCCUGCCCUUUGUACACACCGCCCGUCGCUCCUACCGAUGAAUCGUCCGGUGAAGUUCAUGGAGUCGCGGCCGCUCCAGCUGUUUUCGAAGUGAAAUGGACCUCAUGAUUUAGAGGAAGGAGAAGUCGUAACA
rnacentral:rRNA from 1 species